rnacentral:rRNA from 1 species
UGGGGAAUAUUGGACAAUGGGCGAAAGCCUGAUCCAGCCAUGCCGCGUGUGUGAAGAAGGUCUUCGGAUUGUAAAGCACUUUAAGUUGGGAGGAAGGGCAUUAACCUAAUACGUUAGUGUUUUGACGUUACCGACAGAAUAAGCACCGGCUAACUCUGUGCCAGCAGCCGCGGUAAUACAGAGGGUGCAAGCGUUAAUCGGAAUUACUGGGCGUAAAGCGCGCGUAGGUGGUUUGUUAAGUUGGAUGUGAAAUCCCCGGGCUCAACCUGGGAACUGCAUUCAAAACUGACUGACUAGAGUAUGGAAGAGGGUGGUGGAAUUUCCUGUGUAGCGGUGAAAUGCGUAGAUAUAGGAAGGAACACCAGUGGCGAAGGCGACCACCUGGACUAAUACUGACACUGAGGUGCGAAAGCGUGGGGAGCAAACA